rnacentral:pre_miRNA from 1 species
ACCUACCUAACUGAGUUAGGGCCCUGGCUCCAUCUCCUUUAGGAAAAACUUCUGUGGGGAGUGGGGCUUCGACCCUAACCCAGCUGGGCUGU